UACAGCCACAUCAUGUUGAAACACCGGUUCCCAUGCCAUCCCCGAAAUUAAGCAAUAUUGAGCUUGGUCAGUACCUUGAUGGGUGACUGCUUGGGAAUCCCAGGUGCUGUAAG